CAUGUUCCCUCUCUGUUCUGUGGCGUGUGGUUUUGUCUAGAGAUAUCGAAGUAAUCACCUUAUAUGUCGAACUGGACAUCCGGUUAUAGUGAGGAUCAUAACCUAAUAAACUCGCUGUGUCGGUAAGAGUGUAAUUUAUACAGUGAGAUGGCACACAAAUUUCAAGGCGACUGCAUUGAAUUUGAAUCAAGAAAGUGUAAUCUCAAUAGGCAUAUCCCUGCCUGAAGAUAGGAUGUAUGUAGCCUGUUGGAUCGAGUGCCCUUAACCAUCACAUCGUGCUUGAAACUGUCAAAGAUUUGUGAGGGAGUGCAACCGCUUCAAGCAGAUGUUACCACAGCAAUUUCAGUGUUCAUGAAAAAUGCAGCUACAAAUUUCACGUUGUAAUCUACGUCAGGAUACUUGCGCCGAUCACAGGGGCUGUGCGGUCUAAGGCGUGACCCGUUUUCGCCGCUCGAACGCCGG